CGCAAUGGGCGAAAGCCUGACGGAGCAACGCCGCGUGAGGGACGAAGGCCUCUGGGCUGUAAACCUCUUUUCUCAAGGAAGAAGAUAUGACGGUACUUGAGGAAUAAGCCACGGCUAAUUCCGUGCCAGCAGCCGCGGUAAUACGGGAGUGGCAAGCGUCAUCCGGAAUUAUUGGGCGUAAAGCGUCCGCAGGCGGCCCUUCAAGUCUGCUGUUAAAGCGUGGAGCUUAACUCCAUUAUGGCAGUGGAAACUGAUCGGCUUGAGUAUGGUAGGGGCAGAGGGAAUUCCCGGUGUAGCGGUGAAAUGCGUAGAUAUCGGGAAGAACACCAGUGGCGAAGGCGCUCUGCUGGGCCAUUACUGACGCUCAUGGACGAAAGCCAGGGGAGCGAAAGGGAUUAGAUACCCCUGUAGUCCUGGCCGU
rnacentral:rRNA from 1 species